rfam:Capsicum annuum cultivar Zunla-1 unplaced genomic scaffold scaffold3822, whole genome shotgun sequence
AUACUACUUGGACGGGAUCAAUGGGCGAUCAAGAAGAGUAAUGGCCUAGGUUGGUGACUUCCAUUGCACUUUAGAGGGGCACCUCCCUAAGGUCAACCCAAGUGGUUGAGCCUACGUUCUAAUUGUGGGGGCUUGCGUUUGUGCGGUCCCUGU